UGUCCAUUGUUUAGCUAUCGCUAGCUGCUGAGGAGUCAGACAACUUCAUGUUUCCGUGUUUGUGUGUGGAUUCAAGGGGAUGUUGGUGAGUAGUGGGAAGCUAUUUUUUAACUAGGUCGGCACCCUUUUUUCACCUGCUAACGUUAGCUAGCUACAGUUUAAAAGAAUUUUUCAGUUGGGGCUGUUUGUGAGGAUUCGAAGUUAGUCAGUUUGACGUCAAUGGACAUUAAUUUAGCCAUCCGUUAGCUAGCUAGCUAAAUUACUUUUCUCACUGGAGGGCCUUUUUGUGAGUAACGUUAGUCAAAAACGUUGUUUUAACAAGUUCGGCGGACAUCAACGUUAGCCACCUGUUUGCUGGCUUAGCUAAUGUCAGCUAAAUUGCCUAAACCGUCGUUUUAACCAGUUCAUAACCAGUUCAACUGUUUCAGUAUUAUUCUACUUGGGCGGCCCGCCCAAGUAGAAUAAUAGCUAACACCCGAGUCCGCAGCUCUACGCAGUGAGCUAUCAAUCACUGAUUUAUACAGCUAUGCCUCCUCUCAAAGGUUCGUUUUUGUUAUGUUUUGUUUCAGGUUUGUUAGGAGUUCGCCAGAGAGUGGUGGGGAAAAGUCUGCAAGAGAAUUUCUUUGAACUUGACCGUUUCUCUCCAAGGCUGAUGGACCUCCUUUAGGAAAAAAGAAAGGCCUGCCCUAGCGAGCUUUUGGCUGAGCUUUACUUCAGACAAAGACCACUGAGCCAACACACAUCAGGUGCCUAUGUCUUCGGGGACUGCCUGUCAUCUUGGCGGAUGAUUCUUCUGCCUUCUUCAAGACAUGCUCUGAUGUAACUGACAAGGACUCGUACAGUUAAACUCCAGUGGGAAUUCUCUCCCUGGGUUGAGAAAAUACCCAGCUCAACCCAUUCAGUGUAGGGAUCAUCUUGGAAGGGUCUGUGGUAAUGGAUGAACUGGCCAACCUGCCUCAGGCCUUUUGUGUCCUUUCGUUUCACACACACAGCCGUUUCGGGUUGAUCUACGCCCUGCACCUGGACUAACCCAUGUGCAUGAAAAACACUUUCAACUUUACUCAGCAGGUAAUGCUCAAACUGGGUAGAAGUGAGCUGGAAGCGUAAAACGGGGUUCGAAAUGGCUUUACUACUGCUCCAGAUUUGUUUGCCCCAGUUUGUAAUGUUGGACUUUUGUGUUGUAUAUGGCUUGGGGUAUAUAUACAUGUGUCCUAUGGUAUUUGCACUGAUUUUUGCGCAAUAUUCCAUGACAGACAGGCUCUGAUUACAUUUAAUUCAAAUGAGUUGGAUAUUUUGUGUGUUACUUUUGUGUGAGUAAUAAAGAUCCUUUUCUGAAAUGCAA